UACGUAGGUGGCAAGCGUUGUCCGGAAUUAUUGGGCGUAAAGCGCGCGCAGGCGGUCCUUUAAGUCUGAUGUGAAAGCCCACGGCUCAACCGUGGAGGGUCAUUGGAAACUGGGGGACUUGAGUGCAGAAGAGGAGAGUGGAAUUCCACGUGUAGCGGUGAAAUGCGUAGAUAUUGGGAGGAACACCAGUGGCGAAGGCGGCUCACUGGACUGGUACUGACGCUGAGGCGCGAAAGCGUGGGGAGCAAACAGG
rnacentral:rRNA from 1 species